UACGAAGGGGGCAAGCGUUAAUCGGAAUUACUGGGCGUAAAGCGUGCGCAGGCGGUCUGCUAAGACAGGUGUGAAAUCCCCGGGCUUAACCUGGGAACUGCGCUUGUUACUGGCAGGCUGGAGUGUGGCAGAGGGGGGUGGAAUUCCACGUGUAGCAGUGAAAUGCGUAGAGAUGUGGAGGAACACCGAUGGCGAAGGCAGCCCCCUGGGCUAACACUGACGCUCAUGCACGAAAGCGUGGGGAGCAAACAGG
rnacentral:rRNA from 1 species